rnacentral:rRNA from 1 species
AGAGUUUGAUCCUGGCUCAGGACGAACGCUGGCGGCGCGCCUAACACAUGCAAGUCGAACGGAGCUUAGAGAGCUUGCUUUUUAAGCUUAGUGGCGAACGGGUGAGUAACGCGUGAGUAACCUGCCCUAGAGUGGGGGACAACAGUUGGAAACGACUGCUAAUACCGCAUAAGCCCACGGUACCGCAUGGUACUGAGGGAAAAGGAUUUAUUCGCUUUAGGAUGGACUCGCGUCCAAUUAGCUAGUUGGUGAGGUAACGGCCCACCAAGGCGACGAUUGGUAGCCGGACUGAGAGGUUGAACGGCCACAUUGGGACUGAGACACGGCCCAGACUCCUACGGGAGGCAGCAGUGGGGGAUAUUGCACAAUGGGGGAAACCCUGAUGCAGCGACGCCGCGUGGAGGAAGAAGGUUUUCGGAUUGUAAACUCCUGUCGUUAGGGACGAUAAUGACGGUACCUAACAAGAAAGCACCGGCUAACUACGUGCCAGCAGCCGCGGUAAAACGUAGGGUGCAAGCGUUGUCCGGAAUUACUGGGUGUAAAGGGAGCGCAGGCGGGAAGACAAGUUGGAAGUGAAAACCAUGGGCUCAACCCAUGAAUUGCUUUCAAAACUGUUUUUCUUGAGUAGUGCAGAGGUAGAUGGAAUUCCCGGUGUAGCGGUGGAAUGCGUAGAUAUCGGGAGGAACACCAGUGGCGAAGGCGGUCUACUGGGCACCAACUGACGCUGAGGCUCGAAAGCAUGGGUAGCAAACAGGAUUAGAUACCCUGGUAGUCCAUGCCGUAAACGAUGAUUACUAGGUGUUGGAGGAUUGACCCCUUCAGUGCCGCAGUUAACACAAUAAGUAAUCCACCUGGGGAGUACGACCGCAAGGUUGAAACUCAAAGGAAUUGACGGGGGCCCGCAC